UUUUUUUCUCAAAAAUAUAUUCAUACACUGCUUGAUGGUAGAAACAAAACUACUAUUGGCUUAUUCCUUUAACACAUCAGCAUAUGAAUGUGUGCGUAGAUAUAUACUCAGUACGUGUAUAUACACACGCAUAUGUCCAUAUAGACAUCUAGGUACAUGUCCAUAUGCACAUAUAGUUUGAUAAUGUUUAAGAUCCGUUCACUUAUGUUUAGUACUGUGUUAUAGUAUAGAAUUGGAACACAGUCUAAUAAUUAUAGUGAAAAUUAACUGAGGUUUAAUUUUAAUGCAUAUUUUUCUGAAACAAAUUUCCCCCAGGUGUAAGAUCACCAGUCCUUUUCUCCAUGCAUUGUGCUUUUGUACCUUACAGAUUUUACGUCCUUUUUAUCUGAAUGUAAAAACUCUCUGAAGAACUCUGUGACAUGCUGUUAUCUAAGACUCUGGUUUCCUCCCCUGGGAAUGAGAAAAGAAACGGUGACAAUGUCAUUGCUUGAGUCUUUCUUCCCAGUCAUUAAACUGCGAUAGGAUAGAAACAUAACAUUCCUUAUGCAAACACAGAAAAAUGUUGCAUGAAUUUUCAGUUCUGAAAAUGUGUAUCAUAGUUACUAGCAGUCAUGUACAGUAUAUAUUUACAGAUUGAUCUCAAAGAUUUCAUUAAAACUGUGCCAUGUUAUAGUCAUAAUUUGCCCAUGAAUUUCACAAAGAUGAAAAACACCUUAAUUGCUGGCUAUUAUGUCUAAUAGAACAACAAAAUGUGCAACUAUAAUUAUAUUACAAGGUUUACCUAUAUUAUUAACUUUGAUACUUUGCUUAUUGAAACUAACAACAAUUAACAUGAUUAAAAGACCCAGAAUAUUCAUUUUCGAUCAAUUCUAAAGUAAAAUUAAAUUUAUUCUAGUUCACCUGGAGGGUAGCACAUAUAGCAAACCCAGUAUCUCAUGUAUGUUGGCAUAAUUUCUCACUUUCACUCAAGUAUCUCAGAAGAGGAGAAAGUGCUCACCUUGGGCUUGAAUUAUACUUUUCCCUUGACAGUGCCUCACCAGUCUUUCUCACCAUCUUUUUAUAUCACAGUGUUAAGCCUUAGUACAAAAUGAUAGAAUCCUUCUCUUUCACUAAUUUUAUACAUCACAUUAAUAGCCAGAAGGACAUAGUAAAAGCAAAAAGUGCUCCUUCCCCACACAUAAUAUAUCUUUCCUAGUGACACCUGAGCAGAAACCAGACAUUUUCUUUCACUCUCUGAAUAGUGACAUCAGAGAGUAUUAUGGCUUGUACUGUAACUUUAGAUAAAUGAAUGUGCAGUUCUACGAUUCAGCCUCUGUGGUUUUCGUAAUAGCUGAUGGAGUAAACCAAUCCCGAGAGUUAAUAUAUUCUCCAUAAGGUUUUAUAUUUGAUGUCUAUCAUCCACAAACAGGCUGUGAGCUCCCUGUAUUCACACUAUGCUUCUGUGAAAUAAAAAAGGAGUUGGCAGCAAUUUGUGAAGUAAAAGUUUGUACAGAAGAAUACUAUAAGACUGUUUUUAUUUAUGGUAAUACCACUUUUAAAGAACAGACUUUGAAGGGAAAUACUGAAUUUUGAUGUUGCUCCUUUUCUUAGAAGUGGGAAAAAAAUCCAACAUGAUUCAUACCUAUCAGUUGAAAUUCCAAAUGCAUCUACAAAGCUUAUUGCAUUAUGCAUGUAAUGCAGUCAGAAAUUAAGUAUGUGAAUAGAAAGCAACAUUUUGACUUGAAAAGUCAAUCACAUGAUGAAAGCCUGUCUCUACAUACGGCAGAGUCUGAACCUGGAGGCAGUACAUGAACAUACACACAACUCUCUGAAAGCAACAGGCAGUGUGUAUGCCUAGCAAAUCCCACUGCAGGCUCAAGACUAUUCUCUUCCAUUUGAAGCAGAAAUAUGCAUAGGAUAUGCUCAAAACAAAGUCAGAAAAUUGGCCUAUUAGUUCCUGGAAUUGGUUUCCUCCUAUCACUGUCAUUCACUGUCAAACAGGGAAAAAAACCCACAGAAACUUGAAAAAAAAUUACUCUUUUAAAGCAAGAACAAAAAAAAUUAUAGAAAAUAUUUUAUGAAAAAUAUUCUUAAGAACUAUCUUAAAAUAUUGCCAAAGGAAUACUUCAAUGGGGAAAAAGUACCUGCCUGAAAAAAAUCCUUUACUAUUUGGAAGAUACUUGAAUUCUAGUUUCUUUCAGAGAUUUGUAGAGAUAUGCAGAUGAGAGGUAGUGUAGAUACAACAGAUGUGGCUUUUGCUUCAUUUUACUUAAUGCAUUUUUACAACAUUGCUACAUUCCUCUACUGAUCACAACUGCAGCUGUUGUGACUGUGAGCAUAUGUUCUCUCUUUAAAAAUCCCAGCAAAACUAGUGCUUUUUGCUUCAGCUUCUGUGCAAAUACCCAACCCUAAUAUUACCAGUCAAAGGUUUGGUUCUUUCAAUAAAUAUCAGGAAAUACCUGAAUAUGGUUGGGAAACCUCUGACCAUCAUCAUCUUGGAAAGAUGUCAGGCACUACUUCUUUUCAAGUUUACACAUUUAAAAGGUAAAGUGUAUAUGUUUUGUAAGCAUGAUAACAACUUAGUACACUCUCUUAAAUGUAGAUGCAUGACUUGGACAUGCAGUUUCCCAGGGAAUGGUAUGUACUUCUGUCAAAACCAGAACUUGUUUCUCAAAUGCUGCUCUAUAAUUUUUAUCUCUAAACUCAAAUGGUCAUAAAAAAACAGAAUGAAAAAAACCCCAAGAGUGAGGGACAAUGACACAGAAGUGAUUGUCAAAAUCCAAUUUGCUUUCAUACUCACAAUGCACUUAUAUUUUGAUAAGGGAAUAUGUCCAUACUGCAACUUCAUGUAUUUAUGAUUUAGCAGAUACAACC
ensembl:lncRNA